UUUUAAAUUAGGAUGGCAAGAUUUUAAGUUGAUAGAUGGGUAUUUUUUAAGAUUUUUUGAUCAACAAAUUUUAUUUUUAAAAUAAAAUUAUCUUAAAUUAUAUUUUUGGAAAGUUUUCAUUUUUAUAGAAAAAUAUUGUUGAUUAGGGGUUGUGAUUUUUAAAUUAGGAUAACAAGCAUUUUUGUUGAUAGAUGAAUAUUCUUUUAGAUUUUUUUAUCAAUAUGUUGUAUUUUAAAAUUAAAAUUCUCAAAAAUUCUAUUUUGUGAAAGUUUUCAUUUUUAGAGAAAAAUAUUGUAGAUUUGGGUUGUGAUUUUUAAAUUAGGAUAACAAGAUUUUAAGUUGAUAGAUGGGUAAUUUUUAAGAUUUUUUGAUCAACAAGUUAUAUUUUUAAAAUAAAAUUAUCAAAAAUUCUAUUUCAAGAAAGUUUCGUUUUUACAGAAAAAUAUUGAAGAUUUGGGGGUUAUAAUUUUGAAAUUAGGAUAACAAGCAUUUUUGUUGAUAGAUGAGUAUUUUUUUAGACUUUUUGAUCAAUAUGUUGUAUUUUUAAAUUAAAAUUCUGAAAAAUUCUAUUUUAGGAAAGUUUUCAUUUUUAUACAAAAAUAUUUUUGAUUUGGGGUUGUGAUUUUUAAAUUAGGAUGGCAAGAUUUUAAGUUGAUAGAUGGGUAUUUUUUAAGAUUUUUUUAUCAACAAGUUGUAUUUUUAAAAUAAAAUUAUCAUAAUUUCUAUUUUAGGAAAGUUUUCAUUUUUAUAGAAAUUUCUUGUUGAUUUGGGGUUUUUAUUUUUAAAUUAGGAUAACAAGCAUUUUUGUUGAUAGAUGAAUAUUCUUUUAGAUUUUUUGAUCAAUAUGUUGUAUUUUAAAAAUAAAAUUCUCAAAAAUUUUAUUUUAGGAAAGUUUUCAUUUUUAGAGAAAAAUAUUGUAGAUUUGGGGUUGUGAUUUUUAAAUUAGGAUAACAAGAUCUUAAGUUGAUAGAUGGGUAUUUUUAAGAUUUUUGAUCAACAAGUUGUAUUUUUAAAAUAAAAUUAUCUUAAAUUUUUUUUUAUUAAAGAUUUCAUUUUUAUAGAAAAAUAUUGUCGAUUUGGGGUUGUGAUUUUUAAAUUAGGAUAACAAGCAUUUUUGUUGAUGGAUGAAUAUUCUUUUAGAUUUUUUGAUCAAUAUGUUGUAUUUUAAAAAUAAAAUUCUCAAAAAUUCUAUUUUAUGAAAGUUUUCAUUUUUAGAGAA
rnacentral:lncRNA from 1 species